rnacentral:rRNA from 1 species
GCUUGUCUCAAAGAUUAAGCCAUGCAUGUCUAAGUAUAAACAAAUCUAUACUGUGAAACUGCGAAUGGCUCAUUAUAUCAGUUAUAGUUUAUUUGAUGGUUCUUGCUACUUGGAUAACCGUAGUAAUUCUAGAGCUAAUACAUGCAUAAAGCCCUGACUGUUUGGAAGGGGUGUAUUUAUUAGAUGGAAACCAAUGCAGGGCAACCUGGAAUAUGGUGAUUCAUAAUAACUCGCGGAUCGGUUUACCGAUGCAUCAUUCAAGUUUCUGCCCUAUCAGCUUUGGAUGGUAGGGUAUUGGCCUACCAUGGCUUUAACGGGUAACGGAGAAUUAGGGUUCGAUUCCGGAGAGGGAGCCUGAGAAAUGGCUACCACAUCCAAGGAAGGCAGCAGG